AACGAACGCUGGCGGCAGGCCUAACACAUGCAAGUCGAACGCCGUAGCAAUACGGAGUGGCAGACGGGUGAGUAACACGUGGGAACAUACCCUUCGGUUCGGAAUAACUCAGGGAAACUUGAGCUAAUACCGGAUACGUCCGCGAGGAGAAAGAUUCAUCGCCGGAGGAUUGGCCCGCGUCUGAUUAGCUUGUUGGUGAGGUAAUGGCCUACCAAGGCGACGAUCAGUAGCGGUCUGAGAGGAUGAUCAGCCACACUGGGACUGAGACACGGCCCAGACUCCUACGGGAGGCAGCAGUGGGGAAUCUUGCGCAAUGGUCUAACGACUGACGCAGCGACGCCGCGUGAGGGAAUGAAGCUCUUCGGAGUGUAAACCUCUGUGCCCGGGACGAAUAGCGGAUUAUUCCGACUUGACGGGUACCGGGUGAGGAAGGCNCCGGCUAACUCCGUGCCAGCAGCCGCCGCUGU
rnacentral:rRNA from 1 species